rnacentral:ribozyme from 1 species
GCCGUCCAAAAAUGCUGCCUCUACGUGGCGGACGCAGGCAACAGAGUGUGUCUAAACACCUCUGGCUAAAGCAUGA